UACGUAGGGUCCAAGCGUUAAUCGGAAUUACUGGGCGUAAAGCGUGCGCAGGCGGUUCGCAAAGACAGGUGUGAAAGCCCGGGGCUUAACCCCGGGAGGCGGGUGGAUACUGCUGGGCUCGAGUCCGGAAGAGGCGAGUGGAAUUCCCGGUGUAGCGGUGAAAUGCGCAGAUAUCGGGAGGAACACCAAUGGCGAAGGCAGCUCGCUGGGACGUGACUGACGCUGAGACGCGAAAGCGUGGGGAGCAAACAGG
rnacentral:rRNA from 1 species